AACAUCGCGCACCUGCGGGAACCUGCGGAGGGAUCAUUAUCGAGUUGCAAAACUCCCUAAACCAUUGUGAACCUACCUGUACCGUUCCUUCGGCGGGCGGCGUCAAGCCCUAACCCGGUCCCCUUUACGGGGGAUGGACCCGCCGGAGGCUCCUAAACUCUUAAUUUUAGUUGGCAUCUCUGAGUAAAUCAAAAUAAGUCAAAACUUUCAACAACGGAUCU
rnacentral:misc_RNA from 1 species